ACGAACGCUGGCGGCGUGCCUUAGACAUGCAAGUCGAACGGAGUAGCAAUACUCAGUGGCGAACGGCGGAGUAAUGCAUAAGCAACGUGCCCCAAAGACUGGGAUAGUCGAGGGAAACCACGGGUAAUACCAGAUGUGGUCCUUAGAUGGCAUCAUCAAGGGAUUAAAUCGAGCAAUCGGCUUUGGGAGCGGCUUAUGUCCUAUCAGCUUGUUGGUGAGGUAGCGGCUCACCAAGGCUACGACGGGUAGGGGGUCUGAGAGGAUGAUCCCCCCGAGUGGGACUGCGACACGGCCCACACACCUACGGGUGGCAGCAGUUUGGAAUAUUGCACAAUGGGGGAAACCCUGAUGCAGCGACGCCGCGUGGAGGACGAAGGAUCUAGGUCUGUAAACUCCUUUUGCCAGGAAAGACUUAGGACGGUACCUGGCGAAUAAGCCCCGGCUAACUACGUGC
rnacentral:rRNA from 1 species